rnacentral:rRNA from 1 species
UUGACGAGGAGUACCUCGAGGUUUGUAAAGCCCUUUCUAGGAGGAGGAGGGUACUUUAGUUAAUACCUAGAGAUACCCGUACGUUACUCGCAGAAUAACCGCCGUCUAGCUCUACGCCAGCAGCCGGGGUAAUACAGACGGUGCGACUGCUAAUCGGAUUUACUGGGCGUAAAGCGUGCGUACCGGCUUAUUAAGUCGGAUGUGAAAUCCCCGAGCUUAACUUGGGAAUUGCAUUCGAUACUGGUGAGCUAGAGUAUGGGAGAGGAUGGUAGAAUUCCAGGUGUAGCGGUGAAAUGCGUAGAGAUCUGGAGGAAUACCGAUGGCGAAGGCAGCCAUCUGGCCUAAUACUGACGCUGAGGUACGAAAGCAUGGGGAGCAAACAGGAUUAGAUACCCUGGUAGUCCAUGCCGUAAACGAUGUCUACUAGCCGUUGGGGCCUUUGAGGCUCUAGUGGCGCAGCUAACGCGAUAAGUAGACCGCCUGGGGAGUACGGUCGCAAGACUAGAACUCAAAUGAAUUGACGGGGGCCCGCACAAGCGGUGGAGCAUGUGGUUUAAUUCGAUGCAACGCGAAGAACCUUACCUGGCCUUGACAUACUACAAACUUUCCAGAGAUGGAUUGGUGCCUUCGGGAAUCUAGAUACAGGUGCUGCAUGAUCUUCGUCAGCAGC